rnacentral:rRNA from 1 species
ACUCCUACGGGAGGCAGCAGUGAGGAAUAUUGGACAAUGGGCGCAAGCCUGAUCCAGCCAUGCCGCGUGCAGGAAGACUGCCCUAUGGGUUGUAAACUGCUUUUAUACAGGAAGAAACACUCCCUCGAGUAGGGAGCUUGACGGUACUGUAAGAAUAAGGAUCGGCUAACUCCGUGCCAGCAGCCGCGGUAAUACGGAGGAUCCAAGCGUUAUCCGGAAUCAUUGGGUUUAAAGGGUCCGUAGGUGGAUAAUUAAGUCAGAGGUGAAAGUCUGCGGCUCAACCGUAGAAUUGCCUUUGAUACUGGUUAUCUUGAAUUAUUAUGAAGUAGUUAGAAUAUGUAGUGUAGCGGUGAAAUGCAUAGAUAUUACAUAGAAUACCAAUUGCGAAGGCAGAUUACUAAUAAUAUAUUGACACUGAUGGACGAAAGCGUGGGGAGCGAACAGGAUUAGAUACCCUGGUAGCGUCGU